UGGGGAAUUUUGGACGAUGGGCGAAAGCCUGAUCCAGCAAUGCCGCGUGUGUGAAGAAGGCCUUCGGGUUGUAAAGCACUUUUGUCCGGAAAGAAAUCCUUGGCUCUAAUACAGUCGGGGGAUGACGGUACCGGAAGAAUAAGCACCGGCUAACUACGUGCCAGCAGCCGCGGUAAUACGUAGGGUGCAAGCGUUAAUCGGAAUUACUGGGCGUAAAGCGUGCGCAGGCGGUUUGCUAAGACCGAUGUGAAAUCCCCGGGCUCAACCUGGGAACUGCAUUGGUGACUGGCAGGCUAGAGUAUGGCAGAGGGGGGUAGAAUUCCACGUGUAGCAGUGAAAUGCGUAGAGAUGUGGAGGAAUACCGAUGGCGAAGGCAGCCCCCUGGGCCAAUACUGACGCUCAUGCACGAAAGCGUGGGGGAGCAAACAGGAUUAGAUACCCUGGUAGUCCACGCCCUAAACGAUGUCAACUAGUUGUUGGGGAUUCAUUUCCUUAGUAACGUAGCUAACGCGUGAAGUUGACCGCCUGGGGAGUACGGUCGCAAGAUUAAAACUCAAAUGAAUUGACGGGGUCAUA
rnacentral:rRNA from 1 species